rnacentral:rRNA from 1 species
AUACGGAGGGUGCAAGCGUUACUCGGAAUCACUGGGCGUAAAGCGCGUGCAGGCGGCUAUUUAAGUUGGAUGUGAAAGCCUACGGCUCAACCGUAGAACUGCAUCCAAAACUAUUUAGCUAGAGUGUGGGAGAGGAAGAUGGAAUUAGUUGUGUAGGGGUAAAAUCCGUAGAGAUAACUAGGAAUACCAAAAGCGAAGGCAAUCUUCUGGAACACUACUGACGCUGAGGCGCGAAAGCGUGGGGAGCAAACGGGAUUAGAAACCCUAGUAGUCC